AAGCGUAACAAGGUCUCCGUAGGUGAACCUGCGGAGGGAUCAUUACACAAAUAUGAAGGCGGGCUGGAACCUCUCGGGGUUACAGCCUUGCUGAAUUAUUCACCCUUGUCUUUUGCGUACUUCUUGUUUCCUUGGUGGGUUCGCCCACCACUAGGACAAACAUAAACCUUUUGUAAUUGCAAUCAGCGUCAGUAACAAAUUAAUAAUUACAACUUUCAACAACGGAUCUCUUGGUUCUGGCAUCGAUGAAGAACGCAGCGAAAUGCGAUAAGUAGUGUGAAUUGCAGAAUUCAGUGAAUCAUCGAAUCUUUGAACGCACAUUGCGCCCUUUGGUAUUCCAAAGGGCAUGCCUGUUCGAGCGUCAUUUGUACCCUCAAGCUUUGCUUGGUGUUGGGCGUCUUGUCUCUAGCUUUGCUGGAGACUCGCCUUAAAGUAAUUGGCAGCCGGCCUACUGGUUUCGGAGCGCAGCACAAGUCGCACUCUCUAUCAGCAAAGGUCUAGCAUCCAUUAAGCCUUUUUUCAACUUUGACCUCGAUCAGUAGU
rnacentral:rRNA from 1 species